GUGGGGAAUAUUGGACAAUGGGCGAAAGCCUGAUCCAGCCAUGCCGCGUGUGUGAAGAAGGUCUUCGGAUUGUAAAGCACUUUAAGUUGGGAGGAAGGGCAGUAAGUUAAUACCUUGCUGUUUUGACGUUACCGACAGCAUAAGCACCGGCUAACUUCGUGCCAGCAGCCGCGGUAAUACGAAGGGUGCAAGCGUUAAUCGGAAUUACUGGGCGUAAAGCGCGCGUAGGUGGUUUUGUAAGUUGGAGGUGAAAUCCCCGGGCUCAACCUGGGAACUGCCUCCAAAACUGCAUGACUAGAGUACGGUAGAGGGUAGUGGAAUUUCCUGUGUAGCGGUGAAAUGCGUAGAUAUAGGAAGGAACACCAGUGGCGAAGGCGACUACCUGGACUGAUACUGACACUGAGGUGCGAAAGCGUGGGGAGCAAACAGGAUUAGAAACCCGAGUAGUCC
rnacentral:rRNA from 1 species